rnacentral:rRNA from 1 species
UGGGGAAUAUUGGACAAUGGGCGCAAGCCUGAUCCAGCCAUACCGCGUGGGUGAAGAAGGCCUUCGGGUUGUAAAGCCCUUUUGUUGGGAAAGAAAAGCAGCCGGUUAAUACCCGGUUGUUCUGACGGUACCCAAAGAAUAAGCACCGGCUAACUUCGUGCCAGCAGCCGUGGUAAUACGAAGGGUGCAAGCGUUACUCGGAAUUACUGGGCGUAAAGCGUGCGUAGGUGGUUGUUUAAGUCUGUCGUGAAAGCCCUGGGCUCAACCUGGGAAUUGCGAUGGAAACUGGGCGACUAAAGUUAGGCAGAGGGUAGUGGAAUUCCUGGUGUAGGAGUGCAAUGCUUAGAGAUCAGGAGGAACAUCCGUGGCUAAGGCGACUGCCUGGGCCAACACUGACACUGAGGCACGAAAGCGUGGGGAGCAAACAGG